AAGACUAUACUUUCAAGGAUCAUUUCUAUAGUUUGCUACUAGAGAGGUUUCUUUGAACAUGUAGAGUACCCAAAACCACAAGGAAGAGUUGCAGUGUUCUCUCCUGAGUGUGAAGUUGGCUUUUCGUGCUGUUUUUAUAGCUGCUGAUCACCGCUGAUGAUUGUUCUUUCUUCUCCUUUGGAGGAGUAAGAGGGAGAGAACACAGUCUGAGUGGUU
ensembl:snoRNA